AUUCCAGCUCCAAUAGCGUAUACUAAAGUUGUUGCAGUUAAAAAGCUCGUAGUUGAAUUUCUGUUCUUUUCUCUCUUUCCUCCCCUCCCUUUUUUUUCCCCUUUUCUCUCCGUUCAUCCUCGGGGAGAGCGCGUCUGGCAUUCAGUUGUCGGGUGCGGGAUCCUCGUCAUUUACUGUGAGCAAAAUAGAGUGUUCAAAGCAGGCUUAGGCCGUUGAAUACAUUAGCAUGGAAUAAUAAGAUAGGACCUUGGUCUAUUUUGUUGGUUUGCAUUCCAAGGUAAUGAUUAAUAGGGAUAGUUGGGGGUAUUCGUAUUCAAUUGUCAGAGGUGAAAUUCUUGGAUUUAUGGAAGACGAACUACUGCGAAAGCAUUUACCAAGGAUGUUUUCAUUA
rnacentral:rRNA from 1 species